rnacentral:rRNA from 1 species
GAUGAACGCUGGCGGCGUGCCUAAUACAUGCAAGUCGAGCGAACAGACGAGGAGCUUGCUCCUCUGACGUUAGCGGCGGACGGGUGAGUAACACGUGGAUAACCUACCUAUAAGCCUGGGAUAACUUCGGGAAACCGGAGCUAAUACCGGAUAAUAUAUUGAACCGCAUGGUUCAAUAGUGAAAGACGGUUUUGCUGUCACUUAUAGAUGGAUCCGCGCCGCAUUAGCUAGUUGGUAAGGUAACGGCUUACCAAGGCAACGAUGCGUAGCCGACCUGAGAGGGUGAUCGGCCACACUGGAACUGAGACACGGUCCAGACUCCUACGGGAGGCAGCAGUAGGGAAUCUUCCGCAAAGGGCGAAAGCCUGACGGAGCAACGCCGCGUGAGUGAUGAAGGUCUUCGGAUCGUAAAACUCUGUUAUUAGGGAAGAACAAAUGUGUAAGUAACUAUGCACGUCUUGACGGUACCUAAUCAGAAAGCCACGGCUAACUACGUG